UAUUACGGAUGAGCAAAGAAAGUGGUUUCUUGAGAUGGAAUCUACUCCUGGUGAAGAUGCUGUGAA
rnacentral:pre_miRNA from 1 species